GUUUGCACUUUAUGGGGCUUGGGAUCGGUGUGUGGGAUGUGUGGAAGGAAAGAAUUGUUUACCUUUGACAGAGAUUGGCAAAGAAAGCGUCCGCUUUCCACUAUUGAAACGUGAUUGAAAAUGAAAUUAAUUUCGAAAAUCUAUUUUGUGGUUCGCGAUGCAGUCAAAUAGUGCUUAGUUCGUAUUCGAAUGAAUGUCCAAAUUUGCGUGGGAAGUGACAAUAUGGUUCGAUCACAUCAUCAUCAUCAUCAUCAGCGCGCAACAGUUGUUGACAGUUGAUCGUUAUCAUAAGAAAACGUUCCGAGCAUUGGCUCCGUCCUCUACACUCAAGUGCUAAGAGCCACUUCAGCGCUCCCACUGCAUUGCAUUGAAAGCAACCGACAAACGACUUUUGAAAGCUAUGCUUGUCCCGCUUUGCUUUCUUCCCUGGCUGCAGUGAAAGCCUUUCUGGGUGAGUUGUCGCUGGAGUGGGAGAGAGUUCUUGUUUUUGCCGACAAGCUGCACGGUCGAUCAAAUCGACCGACUUGGAAAGCGAAGCAAAAGGAAAGGAUUGUCCUACAAGUUGUGUACCUUGGAAAGGAGAAAAAACAGAAUGAUAAAAUGAGUUUUUUUUUGUAGUGUG